UCAAAUGUGCCCACCAAGCAUGUUUAAAAUGAGAUCGUGCUAUUUCAGUCAUGUUCUUACGAAUGCAUAAAAAUCUCUUGUGAGUAGUCUGUGAGAAUCAUAUGCAUUAGCCAUUAUAAAAAAUAAUUUAAUGAAAAAGCAGCAACAACAAAUGACCAACAAAAGGCUUUCUGCAUUUCCUAGCAGCACUUUCUCAGGUGUUUCAACUUUGUGCAAUUAAGGGGCCUUUAAAGUAAAGGAUCAUCUACACAUGGGCAGGUUUUCAGCACAUAAAAUCUUUCUAUGAUAAUACCACUAGCCAAUAAGGCUUUUAGACCUUGUGACCAAAGACUCUGUAAAAUGUAUAGUUCACUAGCUAAAACAAUCUAUUUUUAAAAGUUCAAAACAUCUCAAUUCAACUCUUCUUUGUAAACAUAUCAUAGGACUUAAAAACUCUAACUGAACAUUUAUACAGGCUCUAUAAAAAGUACUAGAUAAUUAGAAGUCUGACUCUGCAGGUCCUACAUGCCAAAACAGUGUAAAUGCUACAAACAGAAGUCCUCCAGUUUGGAUGCCUCUGAGAAGAAAUGAUGAGAUCAAGAGCAGGAAUAAGGGUGUCUCCUGGCAUGCCAAAGUCAUCCUGCAAUAUCUGGCUGCCUGCUGGAUCUUUUAUCUACAGAUGCUCACCUGCAUAAAUAUCUCUAAAUCUGUCAGAACAAAUAUCGGCAAACCUACCACAGAUACACCACUGCACCUUGGGAAGAAUUCUUCAUGGACAUAAACCCAACAACUCUCCUCUUCCCAUUAUAUUUCUUCCUUUUUGAUCUUGAGGUGCACAUCUGUGCCAUCUUCACUUCAAUGUUGUGCUUUGCCUUUAUAAAAAGGACCCUAUCCUACCUCAUCCCCACCUUCUGGUCAUAAUUGUGAAACCUGUUUUGCUCAGAUUCUAAAUUGUGCUUCUUUUUAAAAUGUAAGUGGGGGAAAAAAAAAAAAAAAAAAAGGCAAACUUAAAUAAAAUUCUAAGGGAAGGAUGAGAGAGAAAGGUAAUUUUAAAAAUGCUGGGACUAGGAUAUAAAGCUCCACCAACUCAGAAUAAAUAAAUAAAUAAAUAAAUUCCAUAGAAACUUUCCUGGAUUCCAUAGAAACCUUCCUGGCAAUCGAACAUCUAAGCCAACAAGAUUUGAGAAUUAUCAAUUCUACUGACACUGAAGUUUGCCAAGAAGACUGUCCAAACCCUAACUGGGAAUUUUAUCUGUGGUCGUACUAACUUGGCUCUUAAAACACAAGCUAUUAUGAGGGCUCAGACCCAAAGCAAUCAAAGAUUCAAGGGUAAGUUGUUACUGAAAUAAGAGAACCUAUGGUGCUUAGCAAUUUGCAGGAUUGCUGGAAAGAAGUAUAACAGGUAUUAAUUUGAUUAUGGUAUAUAAAGAAUGUUGGCUGAAUCAAAUAAAUGUGGCUUUGUAUUUAGUCCUUGAUUUGACUACAUUUCAUACAUGCUGAAAACAUACAUUAAUGAAAAGUAGGUCUACAGCUGAAAGGAAAAAAGUCUGACCCUUUUGCUAUUCACCAACAUAGGAAUAGAGUAAUGUAUGGUGCAGCAUCAGUUUUGAACAUGUCUACUUACACAAUUGUGCUGCAUUCUACCACAAAUACGGUGUAUUACUUAAUCUAUUUGGACAUAUGUCUGUAGUUCAAGACAAUAUUUUGCAAAAAACACAUUAGAAGAUCAGUUUGUAUUUUAGAUAAAUAAAUCAGAAAGGUUUCACAUUGCUUAAAAGACUUAGAAAGCCUUAGAAGCCCCAACUAGACCACCAAUGUAACUGCUUAGUGGGGAAGAUAUUGACUCACUGUGGAGGGGAAAGUUUCUCCUCAUUUCAACAGAAUGGUAGGAGAUCAUGUACAAAAGGAUCUAAAGAGCCAGAAUUAUGUGAGAGGAAAAAUUUGCCUAGUAAUUUCAAGUUUAUGAAGGUGUGAGGAGUGUUGCAGAAGAAUUCAGCAUAUACUCCCAGGUCCGUUUUACAGAAGUUCAAUGAUGCUAUGAAAUGUAUUUGUAUCUAAGGAGAUUUUAGUAAGCUUUUGGGUGUUGUCAAGAGGGUUUAUAAUUAAAACUGAUUUGCAAUCCAAAAACCAUAGACAGUGCACCUUGCUCUACUGUGAUUUUUUUGUCUCAGUUUUUGUUCUGCAUUAAAUCUUAAUCCCUUGUGUAAAAUGUGUUACCUACACAAUACAACUGGAACUGCCACCUCCACAGUCUGCCUUGUGAGUAGACUCUUACCGGAUAACUGGGCACAUAAGGGCUGUAGCCUUCCCUUUGGGACUGUCCAAUGUUGCAAAUCUGUAAUUACAGCUGUGGGUCAGCAGUUUCCAGUGAAGAAUUCUCUUUUGCAUGGUGCAACUGAGUGCUUGUGGGAAGCAGUUUGCUGAUGUUCAACUACAGGGAGCACCAGCGGGUGCCAUCAUUUCAUUGUCCUCCUGGGAUCAGGAUAACAAUGGGUUUCUUUUUGCCUAAGGAGUAUAAGUGAAUAUCAAUAUAAAUACUGAUAUGAUCCUGGCUACUGCAGACUAUCAAUGUGCUCAUGUAAUUAUAAAUUAGGAAACGGAGCCCCGACCAUACCCUCAAUCAGAUGCAUUCCUGUUUUAUACCAUUUGUUUGAAGACAGGUGUUAGAACAACUGUGUUAUUGUGUUAUAAGAACUAAGCACAAAAAUCUUUUCCUCAAUCUCUGGUUUUGAAAGAAGGGUGAAGGGGAUGGGAUGGUGAUCUAUAAGAUGCUGAGGAAGCCACCUGUUUCCCUUUGCUUCUGAUCAAACUAGAGUGACAGUGGUUUCGGGGCAAAUGCACAGAAAUCUUUUUGUUUCUUAAUGCAAUUCAGAAAAAUGCCUGCAGGUGAAUCGCAACAGAGAGUACAGAAUAUGGUUAGGAAAGAACAAGUGUCUCUAUGUAAGCAAACAAGUUAUACUGACCUUGAUAAAGUGAUUAAACCAUGCACCAUUAUGCUCCACAGUAAACUUAUAUUUAGUUCAAAACAGAGUUUGAUAAAAACUCCAGAAAAAUGUGCAAAAUGCCAAAGGAGGAGUGAGAUCUGAGCAUAACUGAGUGUUACUUUUAAGCCUAUAUGCUUCCUUUGAUGCAGGCUUAUAAAUCCAAUUAACAUUAAUGAGAAAUGUGUUGUGCCCAUAUGCAAACCAUGAGCUGAGAUCCCCUACUGCCCCUCCAAGAUUUCUUUGCAUGACUCAAAUGUUGAACUGUUACAUUUAAAGUGUAUUUUGACUUGUAAAGUUUCAAAG